GGGGUGAUGGCCUACCAAGCGACAACGGGUAGCCGGCCUGAGAGGGCGACCGGCCACACUGGGACUGAGACACGGCCCAGACUCCUACGGGAGGCAGCAGUGGGGAAUAUUGCACAAUGGGCGCAAGCCUGAUGCAGCGACGCCGCGUGAGGGAUGACGGCCUUCGGGUUGUAAACCUCUUUCAGCAGGGACGAAGCGAAAGUGACGGUACCUGCAGAAGAAGCGCCGGCCAACUACGUGCCAGCAGCCGCGGUAAGACGUAGGGCGCGAGCGUUGUCCGGAUUUAUUGGGCGUAAAGAGCUCGUAGGCGGCUUGUUGCGUCGGCUGUGAAAACCCAUGGCUCAACCGUGGGCUUGCAGCCGAUACGGGCAGGCUAGAGUUCGGUAGGGGAGACUGGAAUUCCUGGUGUAGCGGUGAAAUGCGCAGAUAUCAGGAGGAACACCGGUGGCGAAGGCGGGUCUCUGGGCCGAUACUGACGCUGAGGAGCGAAAGCGUGGGGAGCGAACAAGAUUAGAUACCCUGGUAGUCCACGCUGUAAACGUUGGGCGCUAG
rnacentral:rRNA from 1 species